rnacentral:rRNA from 1 species
GCCUACGGGACGCAGCAGUGGGGAAUAUUGGGCAAUGGGCGCAAGCCUGACCCAGCAACGCCGCGUGAAGGAAGAAGGCUUUCGGGUUGUAAACUUCUUUUAUGAGGGACGAAACAAAUGACGGUACCUCAUGAAUAAGCCACGGCUAACUACGUGCCAGCAGCCGCGGUAAUACGUAGGUGGCAAGCGUUAUCCGGAUUUACUGGGUGUAAAGGGCGUGUAGGCGGGACUGCAAGUCAGAUGUGAAACCCAUGGGCUCAACCCAUGGCCUGCAUUUGAAACUGGAGUUCUUGAGUGAUGGAGAG